UACGUAGGGUGCGAGCGUUAUCCGGAUUCACUGGGUUUAAAGGGUGCGUAGGUGGCUUUGUAAGUCAGUGGUGAAAUGCCGCAGCUCAACUGCGGAACUGCCAUUGAUACUGCUUAGCUUGAAUCACGUCGAGGUGGAUGGAAUAUUACAUGUAGCGGUGAAAUGCUUAGAUAUGUAAUAGAACACCGAUUGCGAAGGCAGUUCACUAGGCGUGUAUUGACACUGAGGCACGAAAGCGUGGGGAUCAAACAGG
rnacentral:rRNA from 1 species